AGAACUUAGCAGAGAUGCUUUGGUGCCCUUCGGGAACUCUGAGACAGGUGCUGCAUGGCUGUCGUCAGCUCGUGUUGUGAAAUGGUUGGGUUAAGUCCCGCAACGAGCGCAACCCUUAUCCUUUGUUGCCAGCGGUCCGGCCGGGAACUCAAAGGAGACUGCCAGUGAUAAACUGGAGGAAGGUGGGGAUGACGUCAAGUCAUCAUGGCCCUUACGAGUAGGGCUACACACGUGCUACAAUGGCGCAUACAAAGAGAAGCGACCUCGCGAGAGCAAGCGGACCUCAUAAAGUGCGUCGUAGUCCGGAUUGGAGUCUGCAACUCGACUCCAUGAAGUCGGAAUCGCUAGUAAUCGUGGAUCAGAAUGCCACGGUGAAUACGUUCCCGGGCCUUGUACACACCGCCCGUCACACCAUGGGAGUGGGUUGCAAAAGAAGUAGGUAGCUUAACCUUCGGGAGGGCGCUUACCACUUUGUGAUUCAUGACUGGGGUGAAGUCGUAACAAGGUAGGCGUAGUGCU
rnacentral:rRNA from 1 species